rnacentral:rRNA from 1 species
GACGAACGCUGGCGGCGUGCUUAACACAUGCAAGUCGAACGGAAAGGCCCUGCUUUUGUUGCGUGCUCGAGUGGCGAACGCGUGAGUAACACGUGAGUAACCUGCCCUUGACUUUGGGAUAACUCCAGGAAACUGCGGCUAAUACCGGAUAGGAGCUCCUGCUGCACGGUGGGGGUUGGAAAGUUUCGGCGGUUGGGGAUCGACUCGAGGCUUAUCAGCUGGUUGGUCUGGUAGUGGCUUUCCAAGGCUUUGACGGGUAGCCGGCCUGAGAGGGUGACCGGCGACCAUGGGACUGAGAUACGGACCAGAAGGCUACGGGAGGCAGCAGUGGGGAAUAUUGCGCAAUGGGGCGACGCCUGAUGCAGCAGCGCCGCGAGCGGGAUGCCCUCCUACGGGUUGUAAACAGAUUUCGAAUGAGAUGAAGACUGAGUGACGGUAAUGGGUAAAGAAGCAACGGCUAACUACGUG